rnacentral:rRNA from 1 species
UGGGGAAUUUUGGACAAUGGGCGAAAGCCUGAUCCAGCAAUGCCGCGUGUGUGAAGAAGGCCUUCGGGUUGUAAAGCACUUUUGUCCGGAAAGAAAUCCUUGGCUCUAAUACAGUCGGGGGAUGACGGUACCGGAAGAAUAAGCACCGGCUAACUACGUGCCAGCAGCCGCGGUAAUACGUAGGGUGCAAGCGUUAAUCGGAAUUACUGGGCGUAAAGCGUGCGCAGGCGGUUUGCUAAGACCGAUGUGAAAUCCCCGGGCUCAACCUGGGAACUGCAUUGGUGACUGGCAGGCUAGAGUAUGGCAGAGGGGGGUAGAAUUCCACGCGUAGCAGUGAAAUGCGUAGAGAUGUGGAGGAAUACCGAUGGCGAAGGCAGCCCCCUGGGCCAAUACUGACGCUCAUGCACGAAAGCGUGGGGAGCAAACAGGAUUAGAUACCCUGGUAGUCCACGCCCUAAACGAUGUCAACUAGUUGUUGGGGAUUCAUUUCCUUAGUAACGUAGCUAACGCGUGAAGUUGACCGCCUGGGGAGUACGGUCGCAAGAUUAAAACUUAAAUGAAUUGACGGGGUCAUAGCUGUUUCCU